CAGAUGUUGGAACACGCCCUCAACUUCAUUUGGCUUUUUUUAUAUAAAGUUCCAUAUAUAUAUGAAUGCAAAAUAUCUUUUGUAUAUUGUGUAUACGUACGUGUGCGCAACGUAACCUGUUCACGCACGUGUACAUGAGUCUGGAGAGUGGUUUGUAGCAUCUAAAAAAGCCCAUACGAUAAUAAGCCAAAGGUACGAACGAAGACAGUGAUAAAGGAAAAAAUAUGGAACCAAAGAGAUCCGGAUUCUUGAUACGACCUCUGUACUACGUAAUAAUGUCUGAAGGUGAAUUAGGAGAGAAAAAAUCAUCCAUCAUGGUUCGAGAUACACAUGAGGCCAUUGGAUUUUGAUGGACGGAUGAUGUUUUAGACUGAAGCUUUCUAUGGGUUCCAACAUCAUAGAAUUGAUGAACGUCUUUGCCUAAUUUAUUAUACCCAAAAUUGGAAGCAAAUUAUUUAUUUGGUGCUGAAUGAGACCCAAUUAUGGCUUGUUGAUGAUUACCAUUACUCCUGUAUGAGAAUAAUAAUUAUAAAAAUAGUUUCUCCAUCACAUGUUGAUGGUGCAUCCUGUCUCAUAUUCACUGAUGACACAGACUACAUAAUACCUCUUGGACUUAUCUACAAUGCAGAUACUUUUGAUGACAUACAAAGACGACGAGAUGUUAAGGACAGUGGAGAGAGAAAGGAUGAAGGACUAUAUAGAAGAUGAGGGGGUUAAGUUAGGGGUUAGAUAGGAUAGGGUGUGUCGUCAUGACUACGCAGCAGGAGGCGGAGCAAUCGAUAUACUCUCGCGGCUCACACACUGAGAGAAAUAAACUCUUCAAAAUUUCAUCAAGAUUAUUAAUAAAUAACUGGGUUAUUAAAGUAAAGCAACAAGUAUGCUGAAGUUCUUUCGAGAAAAAUUUCUUGGAAAAAAUUUGUGUAGAAUUUAUAAUUAAAUAUUUCCGCUAAUUUAUGGAGCAAGGAUUUUUGGAGUCAAAGGAUUUGAUUUAUUUCUUGAUAAAUUUCUAUGAAAAUUACUGGCACCUAAAUAGAGGUUCAUUGUUGGAAAUAUUCUUAAACAAUUGUGUGUAUAAUAAUCGUAGAGAAAAAAAAAUUAGUAUUCAUUGUUAUUGAUUAUGUUGUGGCAAAGGAGAA